UGGGGAAUAUUGGGCAAUGGGCGCAAGCCUGACCCAGCAACGCCGCGUGAAGGAAGAAGGCUUUCGGGUUGUAAACUUCUUUUCUCAGGGACGAACAGAUGACGGUACCUGAGGAAUAAGCCACGGCUAACUACGUGCCAGCAGCCGCGGUAAUACGUAGGUGGCAAGCGUUAUCCGGAUUUACUGGGUGUAAAGGGCGUGUAGGCGGGAAAGCAAGUCAGAUGUGAAAACCAUGGGCUCAACCCAUGGCCUGCAUUUGAAACUGUUUUUCUUGAGUACUGGAGAGGCAGACGGAAUUCCUAGUGUAGCGGUGAAAUGCGUAGAUAUUAGGAGGAACACCAGUGGCGAAGGCGGUCUGCUGGACAGCAACUGACGCUGAGGCGCGAAAGCGUGGGGAGCAAACAGGAUUAGAUACCC
rnacentral:rRNA from 1 species